GUGAAAUGAUGAUGAAGUUUAUCCAUUCUCUGAGUGCUGCUGCACUGCCCUCCCUGCAGCACCUAGAUUCCUGUUCUAGGGUCUCUGUGCUGUGCAGCCUCCAAAUACCCUCCAGCCUUUCAGUGUUCUGCUGGGGGGCUGCUUGAGGGUGUGGCUGGCUGCCUGCAGGAGUGGGACAGAGCCCGCAGGGCUGGAGCCUCUUUCCAUGGGGGCUCCAUCUCAACCGAGAUGAGUGAUGCUCUCUGAUCAC
rnacentral:snoRNA from 1 species